UGCACUUCUGUGCUUCUCCCAGGCCUUCUUGGUGACUUAGUCUGCCGGAGACUGGUGAUGUUGCCUCAUACUCCCUCCUCAUUGGCUGGAUCAGAAACCAGCAUCUGUAAAGCCUCUUUGUCAUCGGAUGUCUCUAGUUCAGCUUUUGUGGGUCUCCUAUCGCUAUCGCUGGGCUAUGCUGUUUCUCUGCUUUUAAGGUCCUGAGGGAUGAAGUCUGCGCAGACAGCUGUGUGGACAGCCCAGGGUCCACGGGGGACGUAAUGCCUGGUGUCGUCUGGGAGACUCCAGAUCUUGAUUUACGUCUUCAGCGUCACAAAGCGCCUUCCAGGAGCACUGUGGCGGUUAUCAGAAUCGGUUUACAGGGCAGGACGGUUGCUACGGCUCCCGGUUCAGAGGUUUCAGCCUAUAGUCCCUUGGCUCCAUCUCCUGGGGUUAUAGUGAGGCAGAUCAUCAUGGCGAGACACGGGGGGAGAAAACAAACUGCUCAUCUUGUGGCUGCCUGGAAGCAAGGAAAGAGGAAGGGUCCAGAGACUCUAUGUCCCCAACUGCUGAUUUCCUUCUGUCCUCCACCUCCUAAUGCCCCUGCCUUCUCUUAGUAAUGUCCUGGCAGGAACCAAGCCUUUGAUAUUCUUGGUAGCCUUCAGGACAGAGGCUGUAAACCAGAAAGCGAUGUAUGUACAGGUUACCACAGACUGCAGAGAUGCUUCCAAAAUGCAUCUGCUUCAAGCCACUGGCCUGUGGCCUGCAUUUCUUCUGUAAAUGAACUUGAAUUUGAAUCUUCUGAAGUUCAAAUGGCGUGUCUGUGCUCGCUCUGCGGCCUGCAUGACUCUUUCUUUGGAUUUUCUAAAAUGUUACUUAAAGAGAAAAACUUGCAUAAUUAUAAA
ensembl:lncRNA